AGGUGCGAUCAUACCUGCACUAAUGCGCUGGAUCCCAUCAGAAUUUCGCAGUGAGGCGUGCUUGGGCGAGAGUAGUACAAGGAUAGGUGACCUACUUGGAAGUGCUCGUGUUGCACCCA
rnacentral:rRNA from 1 species